CUCACCCUCACAUUAUAAUAUGACCAUUGUUCAUUUGCAGAAGAACUUUUGAAACAUGAGACGGUAGAUUUUCCUGCUACGAAAGAGGCUGUCAUCAUGCACAGGCUGCAAAUCGCUGUCACUCUUCUCCUAGAGACUGAUGACCUGACUGACAUAUGUCACUUCUGUGGAUCAGAAGGGCCUGAGGCAGAUUUGAGUUGGAUUCAGUGUGACAUUUGUUUGCGGUGGUUCCACCAUAUGUGCGUUCAAGGCCCACCAACGGAGGAGGCCUUCCUGUGUACUGCUUGUACUACUUAGUUUUGUGUACAUUAUUGUUCUGGAGGAAUUUAUGCAUUAAAUCUUGUGGUAUUACAUUACACCGUCCAAGUUUGUGUCUUCUUAUCUUAAAAUUAUUAUUUUUUGCU